rnacentral:lncRNA from 1 species
UGUGGUUAAACAUUUGAACACGUGAUAAAAUAUUUCCUAUAUUACAAGCUUGUGUGACUUAUAUUUUGGAAAAGAUGUUUAUGUGCGUGUAUCCAUUACAUAAAAUAAGUUGAAAAUGAUCUUCUAGUGUACAUGAUUUCCAAAUUAUCUGCUUCUAUCAAAAACAUUGGUUCAUCCACUCUAUUUUGCUUCCAAAACACUUGGUACCUGCACUCAACAAGUAGAUGAUUACUAUUUGCCAUCAUAUUAAAAAAUUUCAGAUGAGUCAGUGUGAUUUCAAAAGGGAAAUGAGUAAGUUAGUUAUAUACUCUUAUGAUAUUGAAGAUAUUGUUGUUCCACUCUCAUUCUUGGUGACCUGAUGGAGUACUUCCAGGAUAUCAAUGCACUAGAUUGUUGGUUUAACAAUCUAUUUUCCAAAUUAUUGUGUUCAAAUGAUAAAUUUUUUUACUACUUUAUCUUGUUUGAUGUAUUAAUACAUUAUAAGUUACUUGUAUCCUUUAUAUUAAGGCUUUAAGUUUUAUAAUUAGAAACAUCAAUUUAAAUUCAAAGUAUCCAUAUGUUAAUUAUACAAGUAAUACAUUUUAUGAAUAUAAAAAACAUGUACAAAAAGAAAAAGACAAAAAUACUAUUUUAUAUUCAAAAUUUUAUGAAUAUAGUGUAUUUUAAAGAUAUAAAUACAACUUAUUUUAUUAUGUGAAUGAAUCGCAAUGCAUUUAAUAUGUAAUUAUUAAUUAGUACUUUAACAAUGAAAAUUUGAGUGAUUUAGGGGCAUAAUAAAAGGUUAACAGUUAAGGUAACAUAUUUAGGGCAUGGUAAGUUCGUAUGUAUCACUGUAUAAAUAAUGAAAAAUUAAUACAAUUAUGCAGCUAGAAUUUUACAUAAAGUGUAGUCAUUUUUAGUAAACAUGUUUAUAAGAACCCUCACAUUAAGCAGAUAAGCAAGCAUAUACUAGUUAAUUAGUUCACAAAAUACUUUUAGUUAUAAUUACGUGGCUUAGUGUUUUAGUUUGUACGAUCACACGUUGUGUAUAAUUUGAAAAUUUAUAUAGUUGUUUAAAAUUUAGGUGCUUGUUUUUGUACAAAUUUAUUAUUUCGAGUUUAUGCAAAAAUAGUUCAAGUACACAAAUGCACUCAUAAAUUAUUAAAAAGGCACCCGAGAAUCAUAAAAAUAAGACUGUAGCUACAACCCAUAAAUUACAAACUAUAGAUAUGGAGCAUAAUUACAAUUUACUAUAAUAGCUAUUUACGGAACUCCUAAUUACCUUAAGCUAAAAUUUCAUAUUUCGGGAAGCCCAAACACGUGCUUUAUAUUUCCCCAAUCCCCUACCCAUAUACACCAUCAUACAACAAAUUCUACCUUUUGAAUCUCUUCAUACAAUCAAUUUUGAAUUCUCGCUCCCAUUUUCGUCUUCACCAACUGUAAGGUAGAUUUGACUGCAAUUUUCUUCACUGUAAGUUAGACUUGAUUGCAAUGUAUAUACAUUUUCUUCAGUUUCAUCACUGUAAGUUAGAUUUGAUUGUCAUUUGAUGUAAAAUUCUGAUUGUUAAUAUUGUUGAUUGCAAUUUACAUUGUACAUUUCUAUUGCUGAGUAAAUAGGAUUUUCAAAAUUGAGUUGAAAUUUGAAUGUUAAUUGCAGUUUAUGUAUAUUGUGCGACCCUUAGUCUGAUUGUUGUUGAUGUUCGUGCCUAUCUUAUUCUGUACUUCUUGGCCUUAUGAGUAAUUAGGGUUUCAUGAAAUUCCAAUUGUUAUAGAUGUCUCUUGUGAAUAUUAUUGAUGUUAUUGCAGUUUACAUAUAUUAACUUGUUCAGAUUGUUGUUGAUAUGAGCUAAUAUCUUAAUCUGUCCUACUUGUUUUAAGAUGACCAAAUUGCUAUUGGUAUAAUUGUUUUAUUGUGAUCUACCGGGUAUUAGUGAAAUUGCAAUUGUUAUAGUUGUCAAAAUUGCUAUACACUCUUAAUCUCUCCUUGUUUUAAAGAUGACCAACUAAAAAUCUCAAUUCUACCAUCUUGAAGUAGUUUGGUUUUCUGUUGACCAUAAGAAAUACCGUGUCGAGUUCAAGUAUUUAAGAUCCGAGACCUGUAGCUCCUAGUCCAUUCCUUUUGCCUCCUGAGAACCAAUAAAAUAACUUUAUAUAUCAGAUGUCCUGUUCACUUAGAGGAGGAAAAGGUAUCUUUAUUUCUUUGUUUAACAUGUUCCUAUACAUGCACUGUAUAUUGCAGAUGUCUAGGCCUAGGAGGGGAUAUAAUCAGAAUGGGAAGAAUAAUAAGAGAGUCAAAAAUAAGACAGCACAAGUGAUACCAGAACCAAAAAAUGAUUGGCUAUGCAGACAGUGUAACAAUAUGAUAAGUGCAAAGAUAACAACAGCACAUGCACACAGAGAUGCAUGCAACAAAAUCAAGGUGAGUAUUUAGUGUAAAUUCAUGCAUUAAAGUAUCUGAAUGAUUAUGUAUUAAUGUAUUCAAAUUUUGAAACAGGAGGCUCAAGUUAGGGUGGCUGCAAAUGCAAGACAAGGAAUUUACUGAUCUAUGCUACAAGAUUUACUGUUUGAGAGAUAUCUGAUGUGUCAUAUUCUGAAAUAGACUCUUUUGUAUGUGAUUCUUGGCUUUGAGACUCAGGGUUCCCUGUAUCUGUUUGAUCCAAGACAUAGUUCUUUGAAUGUUUGACUGAGAUAUUUUGAUAAAAGGAGUAGACAGAUUGUCUAGACUGUACCUUUAAUGUGACAUUUUGAUAAAAGGAGUUGACAGAUUGUUUAGACUGAUACCUUUAAUGUGACAUUUUGAUAAAGGAGUUGACAGAUUGUUUAGACUGAUACCUUUAAUGGGACAGAUUGUUUAGUGUGAAGCGACUCAGGGUUCUCUGCAUCUGUUUGAUACAGGACAUAGAUCUUUGAAUGUAUGAGAUUUUUUGCAUGUUUGUUUGAGAUUUUUUGAUAAAGGAGUUGACAGAUUGUUUAGACUGAUACCUUUAAUGUGACAGAUUGUUUAGUGUGAAGCAUCAUUGAGACUGAGGGUUCUUUCUAUCUGUUUGAUACAGGACAUAGAUCUUUGAAUGUUUGAGAUUUUUUAAUAAAGAAAUUGACAGAUUAUUUAGUGUGAUCCCUUUACUUGAUUAAUUCGUUCAUUGACAGAUCUUUAAAUGUGAUACAUUUACUAAUUAGUGUUGAUACCUUUACUUAGCUAAUUCGUUCAUUGACAGAUUUUUAAAUGUGAUACAUUUACUAAUUAGUGUUGAUACCUUUACUUAGCUAAUUCGUUCAUUGACAGAUUUUUAUAUGUGAUACAUUUACUUACUGUGACAGAUUGUCUAGUGUCGUACAUUUACUUAGCUAAUUCAUUCAAAACUCCCUCGUAGAAGGACUCCCACUUCAAUUUCACCUCCCUAACCCCUAUCUUAAAGGAAAGAUGGUUGGUUAUCUCCUGAAGGAAUAGAACUCUUUCCAGAAGAGGUAAAGGCAUUAGGCAAUCUUUUUCUAUCAUAGAUUGACUCCUAUUCCCAUUCUUAUGUGUCAAAGCCACCCGUUUAGUGUGAUACAUUUACCUAAUUCAUUCAUUGACAGAUUUUUUAGUGUGAUACAUUUACUUUUCAACAGAUUUUUAAAUGUGAUAUCUGAUAAUAAUUGACAGAUUGUAGAUGAUUUUUUUAAUGUGGUACAUUUACCUGCAUUUACUUUACUUAGAUGUGAGUACCAAUAAUGUUUAUUUAAUGGGGUAAGAAAACAUCUUGUUGGGAUACAAAAAAAUGAUAAACAAGAAAGAGAUCCAAGAAUGAACAUUUACAGACAAACAUAUAUAUGAAGAAAAAAAGAACAUAAAAAAAUUGAUGAUCAGUAAGGAGAGAUCUUAGAUAAAAGAAAAGGAGACCUAAGAAAGAACAUUUACCAACAAAAAUAACUUUUAAUUUAUCAUAAACACAAAAAUAUUUGACAAACAAGAAAGGAGAUCCAAGAAUGAAUACUUAAGAGAAAAAUAACAUGAUUUAUCAUAAAAACAAAAAAUGAACAUGUUUCAACCACAAAAAAGAAUGAAAAUUGUAGAUUGGCAAUUGACAUACCGUGUAUUCUUCUUGAAAAACAAGGAAAUCAAAAUAAUUUUGAUGUGUUCUUCGAUCUAGAUCUAUUAUUCUUGUAAAUCAAUCUCCAUCUUGAUUAUUCUUGUAAAACAAACAAGAAAUCAAAAUAAUUUUGAUGUUCUAAUCUGUUU